GGCUUCAUGAACUUCAUCGACACUUUAAUCAGGUUCUUGUAGGCAGCAAUUAUUGGCUUGCUGCUCUUGGUCGUUUGAUUAAUGAGCUGGUUUCUGCCCACCGUUUGGAAUGAGAGCUGGUCAAGCUGAAAAAGAGAUGGGAAGUGCACACUUCUGAA
rnacentral:lncRNA from 1 species